rnacentral:rRNA from 1 species
UACGGGGGGGGCAAGCGUUGUUCGGAAUUACUGGGCGUAAAGGGCUCGUAGGCGGCCAACUAAGUCGAACGUGAAAUCCCUGGGCUCAACCCAGGAACUGCGUCCGAUACUGGUUGGCUUGAAUCCGGGAGAGGGAUGCGGAAUUCCAGGUGUAGCGGUGAAAUGCGUAGAUAUCAGGAGGAACACCGGUGGCGAAGGCGGAUCUCUGGGCCAUUACUGACGCUGAGGAGCGAAAGCUAGGGUAGCGAACGGG